rnacentral:rRNA from 1 species
UAUUGCACAAUGGGGGAAACCCUGAUGCAGCGACGCCGCGUGAGCGAAGAAGUAUUUCGGUAUGUAAAGCUCUAUCAGCAGGGAAGAAGAUGACGGUACCUGACUAAGAAGCUCCGGCUAAAUACGUGCCAGCAGCCGCGGUAAUACGUAUGGAGCAAGCGUUAUCCGGAAUUACUGGGUGUAAAGGGAGCGUAGGUGGCAGGGCAAGUCAGAUGUGAAAACCCGGGGCUCAACCCCGGGAGUGCAUUUGAAACUGGCCAGCUGGAGUGCAGGAGAGGUAAGCGGAAUUCCUAGUGUAGCGGUGAAAUGCAUAGAUAUUAGGAGGAACACCAGUGGCGAAGGCGGCUUACUGGACUGUAACUGACACUGAGGCUCGAAAGCGUGGGGAGCAAACAGG